rnacentral:lncRNA from 1 species
AGAUUAUAUUUCUUGAUUCAAGUCUUUAUGUCUCUAAAUUAGCAAUGUUUUAGAGGCAAAGAUGAUAGGUUGGUUUCGAUGAGGGUUGAAACUUAUGGUUUAGUAAGAGGUGGAAUUAAGAGUUCCACACACAUUUCAAGAGGUAAUUGACAUUGUAGAGAGAGUUGAUGCUAUAGAUUUCAAAAACUAUGGAGUACGACCUAUAAUACAGAGUUUCAUGUUGCUAUCUAAUAUUAUGAGACAACAAC